CCAAUAGCGUAUAUUAAAGUUGUUGCAGUUAAAAAGCUCGUAGUUGAACUUCGGGGUUUACCCAUUGGUCAGGCUUAAUUGUCUGCACUGGUGAGAUGAAUCUCUACCUUCUGAGGAACUUUCAUGCCAUUUAUUUGGUGUGAUGGGAAAUCAGGACUGUUACUUUGAAAAAAUUAGAGUGUUUAAAGCAGGCUAACGUCUGAAUACAUUAGCAUGGAAUAAUGAAAUAGGACGGACUGAUUCUAUUUCGUUGGUUUCUAGGAUCACCGUAAUGAUUAAUAGGGAUAGUUGUGGGCAUUAGUAUUCAAUUGUCAGAGGUGAAAUUCUUGGAUUUAUUGAAGACUAACUACUGCGAAAGCAUUUGCCAAGGAUGUUUUCAUUAAUCAAGAACGAAAGUUAGGGGAUCGAAGACGAUCAGAUACCGUCGUAGUCUUAACCAUAAACUAUGCCGACUAGGGAUCGGACGAAGUUAAUUUUAUAAUGACGCGUUCGGCACCUUACG
rnacentral:rRNA from 1 species